UACGAAGGGAGCUAGCGUUGUUCGGAAUCACUGGGCGUAAAGCGCACGUAGGCGGGUUUGUCAGUCAGGGGUGAAAUCCCGGAGCUCAACUCCGGAACUGCCCUUGAUACAGCAAGCCUUGAGUCCGGAAGAGGUAGGUGGAAUUCCUAGUGUAGAGGUGAAAUUCGUAGAUAUUAGGAAGAACAUCAGUGGCGAAGGCGGCCUACUGGUCCGGCACUGACGCUGAGGUGCGAAAGCGUGGGGAGCAAACAGG
rnacentral:rRNA from 1 species